UGCGGGGUGGAGCAGAGGUCAGCUCACUUGGCUCAUAACCAAGAGGUCGCAGGUUCGAAUCCUGCCCCCGCAACCA
rnacentral:tRNA from 1 species